rnacentral:piRNA from 1 species
GUGUUUAAAGACACGUGCAUGUGCUUGGUC